rnacentral:tRNA from 1 species
GCUAGAUUAGUUUAAUUGGUAAAACCUUCGUUUUGUAAUCGAAUAAUAAUAGUUCAAUUCUAUUAUCUAGUA